rnacentral:lncRNA from 1 species
UAUAUUUGACUCUAUAUGAAAAUAUCAUUAUUAUAUAAAUAGAAAAAAAAACGUUCAUUUAUUAUAAAAGAAUAUAUUGGAGAGAAAUUCACAUAUAUUUCAUAUAUAAUUCAUCUAUUAAAAAAUAAAAAAAUAGUAGAAGUGGGUUUCAGAUUGUUUAAAUAUAUGACAAUUUAGUCGGGAUGUAUUCAAAUAAUCAUCUUUUUGUAGCCAAGGUUAGUAUCCAAGAUAUUAUCAGAACGGGGCUCCUCUACAAAUGGUUUGAGUUUGCCG